GAUGAAGAACGCAGCGAAACGCGAUAGUUAAUGUGAAUUGCAGAAUUCAGUGAAUCAUCGAGUCUUUGAACGCACAUUGCGCCCCUCGGUAUUCCGGAGGGCAUGUCUGUUUGAGCGUCAUUUCAACUCUCGCUUUAAGCGGUAUUGAGCUUAGUUUCAUUUCGAAUUCAUUCGAAAUGAAUCUAGCUUUAAAGUUGAUGUUUUUGCGGACGAAUGUCUUGAAUAAACAUAGUAAAAUCUUUGAUUUCUUCUGUUUGUUCAUAAUGAUCGUCUUGCCAAACUAAUUUUCUAAUUUUUUUUAAUUAGAAAAUAAUUUUUUCAUUUUUGACCUCAGAUCAGACAAGGAUACCCGCUGAACUUAAGCAUAUCAAAAGCGGAGGA
rnacentral:misc_RNA from 1 species